AUUGAACGCUGGCGGCAGGCCUAACACAUGCAAGUCGAGCGGUAGAGAGGUGCUUGCAUCUCUUGAGAGCGGCGGACGGGUGAGUAAUGCCUAGGAAUCUGCCUAGUGGUGGGGGAUAACGUUCGGAAACGGACGCUAAUACCGCAUACGUCCUACGGGAGAAAGCGGGGGAUCUUCGGACCUCGCGCCAUUAGAUGAGCCUAGGUCGGAUUAGCUAGUUGGUNAGGUAAUGGCUCACCAAGGCGACGAUCCGUAACUGGUCUGAGAGGAUGAUCAGUCACACUGGAACUGAGACACGGUCCAGACUCCUACGGGAGGCAGCAGUGGGGAAUAUUGGACAAUGGGCGAAAGCCUGAUCCAGCCAUGCCGCGUGUGUGAAGAAGGUCUUCGGAUUGUAAAGCACUUUAAGUUGGGUAGAAGGGUAGUAACCUAAUACGUUGCUACUUUGACGUUACCGACAGAAUAAGC
rnacentral:rRNA from 1 species